GGAAAAGAAACCAACAGGGAUUGCCCUAGUAACGGCGAGUGAAGCGGCAACAGCUCAAAUUUGAAAUCUGGCUCUUUCAGAGUCCGAGUUGUAAUUUGCAGAGGGCGCUUUGGCGUUGGCAGCGGUCCAAGUUCUUUGGAACAGGACGUCACAGAGGGUGAGAAUCCCGUACGUGGUCGCUAGACUUCGCCGUGUAAAGCCCCUUCGACGAGUCGAGUUGUUUGGGAAUGCAGCUCUAAAUGGGAGGUAAAUUUCUUCUAAAGCUAAAUACUGGCCAGAGACCGAUAGCGCACAAGUAGAGUGAUCGAAAGAUGAAAAGCACUUUGGAAAGAGAGUCAAAUAGCACGUGAAAUUGUUGAAAGGGAAGCGCUUGCAGCCAGACUUGCCUGUAGUUGCUUAUCCAGACUUUUGUCUGGUGCACUCUUCUGCGGGCAGGCCAGCAUCAGUUUGGGCGGUUGGAUAAAGGUCUCUAUCACGUACCUCUCUUCGGGGAGGCCUUAUAGGGGAGACGCCAUGCAACCAGCCCAGACUGAGGUCCGCGCAUCUGCUAGGAUGCUGGCGUAAUGGCUGUAAGCGGCCCGUCUUGAAACACGGACCAAGGAGUCUAACAUCUAUGCGAGUGUUUGGGUGUCAAGCCCAUACGCGUAAUGAAAGUGAACGGAGGUGGGAACCUUUUAGGUGCACCAUCGACCGAUCCUGAUGUCUUCGGAUGGAUUUGAGUAAGAGCAUGGCUGUUGGGACCCGAAAGAUGGUGAACUAUGCUUGAAUAGGGUGAAGCCAGAGGAAACUCUGGUGGAGGCUCGCAGCGGUUCUGACGUGCAAAUCGAUCGUCAAAUUUGGGCAUAGGGGCGAAAGACUAAUCGAACUAUCUAGUAGCUG
rnacentral:rRNA from 1 species